rnacentral:rRNA from 1 species
GCUGGUGAUUCUAGCGAUGUGGAACAACCUCUUCCCAUUCCGAACAGAGUCGUUAAACGCAUCAGCGGCGAAAAUAGUUUUCCGGCAACGGAGUGCGAAGAUAGCUCGUCGCCAGCA